CCGUCAUAGCCGUAACGAUGAUCAUUAGUUGGUGGCAAAAGUCACUAGCACAGCUAACGCGUUAAAUGAUCCGCCUGAGUAGUAUGCUCGCAAGAGUGAAACUUAAAGGAAUUGACGGGAACCCGCACAAGCGGUGGAGCAUGUGGUUUAAUUUGAAGAUACGCGUAGAACCUUACCCACUCUUGACAUCCUCGCAAAACUAUAGAGAUAUAGCGGAGGUUAACAGAGUGACAGAUGGUGCAA
rnacentral:rRNA from 1 species